rfam:Nonlabens sediminis DNA, contig: contig00002, strain: JCM 19294.
GGGGUCGACUGGUUUUGACAGCGAGACUGGAUUAAUGGUAAGCAUGUCGAGCGCUGGGAAACAGCUCGUAAAUCUCAUUUUUCAUCUUUUUUAAACGGCGAGAAUAACUACGCCCUAGCUGCAUAAUCUGAAUCAUAGUAAGAUUACGCCUCGGUCUACUAGGUAGACAAGCAGGAAGUCUCUCAACAGCCUUGGUUUGCGGCGGUUGGUUAUGGGACUUCGUAAAAGUAAACCUAUCUACGGCAGUGCUUUGAUGCGGUAGAGAAAUUUAAUUGAAGCCAAGCCUAGUUUUGGUAGUUUCUGACCGGCUCUAGGACUGAAAUGAAUUAGAAACUAAACAUGUAGAAAGCGAUUGAUUCACUUGUUUGGACGGCGGUUCGAAUCCGCCCGACUCCACAA